CUGGGAGCUGGAGAGACUGUUAUCUCCUGCUUCUGGGCUCUGCCGAGGGCUGCCCUCCCUGCACAUCCGCAUUAGGAAUGCUGGGUCCCCCUAGAGUGAGCAGCAGAAGCAGCAGGAGCUGGCAAAGGUGCUCUUUGAGGAAGCAUUUUUUUUUUUUUUUAUUAAUUUUGAGACAGGGACAGGAUCUCUCUGUGUCAUCUAGGCUGGAAUACUGUGGCGAGAUUGCAUGAUCAUAGCUCAGCUCACUGAAGCCUCAAACUACUGGGCUCAAGUGAUCCUCCUGCCUAAGUCUCCUGAAUAUCUGGGACUACAGGCAUGUGCCAUCAUACCUGUCUAAUUUUUAAAUAAUUUUUUACAGAGAUGGGGUCUCACCAUGUUGCCCAGGCUGGUCUCAAACUGCUGGCCUCAAGUGAUCCUCCUGCCUCUGCCUUGCUCUGGAAUUACAGGAUCUUGCUGUUGCCCAGGCCGAAGUGCAGUGGCAUGAUCACAACUCACUGCAGCUUUGACGUCGUUGGCUUAAGUGAUCCUCCCGCCUUAGCCUCUGGAGCUGAAACCACAGGUGGAACUCCAGGUCGUAUUCAUGGUGCUGAGAAACUUGGAGCAGUUUCUUCUGAGAUGUGGGGCAGGAGAGAGCUGAGACACUUUUCCUGCUGUGUUAAGAGCUGCCUCCUACUUUCCCAGCAGGAAAGAGAGCCCAGUUGGGGUGAGAAAGCAGUUUUUUAGCUACUGCUGCAUGUCAAAUAGGGCUUCCUAUUGUUUUGUUUACCCUAUUGGCUAAUUCUAUGAUUUUAGUUCCAGGAGGGUUUUGCCAGGUGGCAAAUAUUCUAGGUGACUGGGAAACAGCAACACCAUAGCAGAGAGAAACAGUGCAAGGCUCUGUUUCCACCAGGACAAUGCCGACUUUUAUUCCCUAUCAUUUUUUCCCUCUUUGGUAUUUUUAUUUUCAAAAACCCAGAAGAAUGCAUGAAAUGGGCUAUACUGGAC
rnacentral:lncRNA from 13 species